ensembl:lncRNA
UGGAUAAGUAGUGGGCACAACCCACAGCUCCAUGCAUCCAGGAGAAAAGACCUAGAAGGGGUCACCCUGCCGGCCUCACUGACUGGCCAUUGGAGCCUUCCAGGUGGCUAGCUAGAGUGCCUGUGUAAAGUACUCACCCUGCUCCUGACACUAUGAAAAACAUUUUGCAUGUAUCCUCUCAUGAAUAAGAUGGUUAGAUAGCAUCAUCAACUUAAUGGACACGAAUUUGAGCAAACUUCGGGAGACAGUGGAAGACAGAGGAGCCUGGCAUGCUGCAGUCCAUGGGGUCACAAGGAGUUGGACAUGACUUAGCAACUGAACAAGAAAGCAUCCUCUCAUAUGAUCCUUAAUCCUAGGAGGUACUUAUAAAGGCAAUGUACCGCAUUUCACACUUACACAGCCCUUCCGAGUUCACAGCGCGGCUCCCGGAUUCCCGCAAAACCUCCCCUGUGUGUUUGGGACGCACCAGCCUCGUUUCACCCAGAGAAGACCAAGGACCCAAGAAACAGGAUUGGACACCAGAAGCCGCUCAGGUGUCAUAA